rnacentral:SRP_RNA from 1 species
CGGUGGGUCUUAGGCGGGGGGCUAGGGGUCCCCUGUACCGUAAACCCUCUAUAUGACGGGCCGAAAGCUGAGGCUGAGGCGCCAGUGGCCACCCGCAACCCCAAUUCCGAAGCAGUGACUACCCGUCCCUUGGGGCUGGCGGUCGCUGGGCGGCUUCCGUAGGGAAGCUUGCUCCAGCGUUUGCCAGGUGAACCGGGCUAGGCCCGGGAGGGAGCAACCUAAGCCUGGACGUUCAGCGCUCAAGGGGGUGCGGGUACGAGUGUAGGGUUUGGGGGAGCUGGUGGAUUCUGGGCGUCGAACCUCAGUGACCCACCG